CAAGCAUCACCUUUCAUUCACAGUCUCAAAGAUCACCUUCUUAUUGACCACCAAAAGUCCCAAAGAGUCCUAUUUUCUGAAGAACACCAUUUAUAUGAAAGACUUUAACUCCAAACUUCCAACAGAGCAUUGAGGUGAUAUCUCGUCUGUACAAAUGAAGUUUGUCUGAAGAUCAGAGGGUGGAGCUAGCCACAAGCUAACCAUAGCAGUCUGGAGGUCUAUACAGAUAGACAGGAAGUGAUAUGGCUGGGCAGAGAGAGGAAGUAAUAAGGCGGAAGGAAACAGGAACUCAGUCUCUUUUCUGCUGGGAAGUGGAGAGGUGAGGUGGCUGUGGUUUUGCUCCUUUGUCUCUCUGAUCUCUUGAAAUUUCCCCCAAUAUUUGAUGCUGGGCUUUUAUUAUUAAGACCUAUUAGAACUCGUGCUACAGAGCAUGUGACCCCGGCCGGCACAGCCACAAAACUGGAUCAAGGCAGCUCCAAUGUGAUCAUUACUCAGCCAGAAGCAAUCCGUUGCUCUUCUGUGUCAACAAGUUGGUAAACAGCCGAAAGAAAUGCAAACUUGGCAAGAUGGCCCAGCAGGGACAUGCACCUGCCACCAAUCCAGAAGACCCAAGUUCAAUCCCCAGGUGGAAGGAGAGAGCCAGCUCUCCAAGAGUUGUCCUCUGAUCUCCACAUACAUGUUGUGGGACCCCCCCUCCCACACACAGAGAAUUACAAAUACAAACCUGUCUGCAUGGAGACAUGCACACAAAUACAACCAUGUUGUUUAUAUAACCCCCAUGUGGGAACAACUCAGAUCUUCCCCAGCUGGUAGAUGAACUGACAAGUGGCGUCUAUCCACACAGCUGGACGUCACUCUGCCACAGAAAGGAGCAAUGCACUGGCAUAUUCUGUGCCAGGUGCAGUCCUUGAAAGCAGUGACCUUUCAUGAAAGAGGCAACAGGGAUGCUAUAUUUUAUAUGACCCUAUUUCUAGGAGGUGUUUAGAGUAACCAAGCUAGGGAGCUAGAAAGUGACUUGCUAGUUUUCAGACCCUGGGAUUACGAGGGGACUUGGGAGACUUUUCUAAUAAACAUAAGUAUAAGCACGUAUUUAGGAUGGUCAUAAAUUGCUCUGAAAUCAGACUGAGGUGAUGGCAGAAUCUGCAGGAUGGUACACGUUAAAAAGCUGCAUCUUAUGGUAUGUGAACUAUACAUUCACUAAAAAAUAAGUUCAACUCUGCCUUUAAUUUGUACACUCAGAGGAACUUCAGCCACAGACCUGUUGCUGUAUUGUUUUGUUUUGUUCUAAUAAUGUUCCAUUUCAUUGAAACAGGAAGUUUUCUUUUAAAGGAAUUUGAAUAAAACUUGUCAGAUCUAUGAUGAGUUUUCAAAACCCUACAUUUUUUUGUCCAGUUAGAACUUUUAAAAAAAAAAGACAGAAGCGAAGGGAAGGUGGAGGCAGGAGAGGAGAGAAGAAAGAAAGGGAGGGAGACAGCCAGCCUGCGCCGGAGGAAGGCUCAUGAACACACAGUCAUGAAAAGGCGCCCUUACGUGAAAUGAGGCCACAAACAAAGACUCGUAAACAAAGCAUGCCACGUCUGGGGCUGAGCUUCGGGAAAAAAAUUGAGGGGAGUUAGCUCAAGAUGUCUUUAUCAGGAAAGAGUAAUUAAUAAGAACAGAAACCACAUCCUGGCAAUUAAUUACAUGUUCGAUGGAAACUUCAGAGCGAUUUCAUUUGAACUCUAUAAAAACGGUUACUUCAUCUACUACUCAUUAAAGUACAAAAACCCACAAAUAAAUUAGAGGUUGAAAGUUAAAAUAGAAACAUAGCAUUAUUCAAUUUGGAAUCUACCUCAGCUUUGGAAACAGUGGCCACACCAAACACAGUGCUUUAGAGGCAGUGAAGCUGGGAAGGACUGCCCUCGACACGCAUCCAAGGGGCAGAAGGGGACCCCUCAGCAGGCACGCCUGACGGCUGCCUUCCUGCCUGGACGUGGGCCUUCAUGCUAGCUGUCCUCUGGGUCAUAGUGCGGCUUGGACUGAAUUGGUUCAUGUCUGAGUUUCAAAGAGAGACCUGAGCACUGGCCAGUUGGUAGGUGGUAGAGCCAGUGGGUGGCAGAGCCGAGACCGUUGCUCAGCUUUUGUACUGAAGCAUGACAGACAACACAGUGUGGGCGGAAUGAGUGUCGGUUUUAAGGUUCACAGCUCCACCUUUUUUUUUUUUUUUAAAUCUGAGCACUCAAGAAACACUGCUAUUGAAGACAUUUUGAGCACCCCAUAAGGUUCCUUUUGACCCCCAAUAGAAACUCCAGUUUUUACCACUUCAUCCGUUAGUUUUGCCUCUUGAACUUGAAAAUUGUGGACUCAUUCCCCCCCCCCCCCCCCCCCGCAUGUCCGCCUCCUUUUGUAUAAUGUGUCCCUGGGAGUCGCUUAGGAGGCUGGGCUAUUGUUUUAAUCGCUGUGCAGUGUUCACUUCUCCUUCUUUCCCACUCUCUUAGAUGAGUCAGUCUGUUCUAGGAUGAUAAUGAAAACCCUCCGCGCUUGUGGGUUUGUCUUGAGCCUCUGGGACAAGCGCCACGUUUCUUAGCCUUGCUUUUAGACAAGGGAGUGCCCGAGGAAUCUAGGGAAGAGACACUGGCCUAUGAUUUCACACAAGGUCUCCAUCCUGUCUGGGCUUCAGUGGCAAAAGCAGGCACGAGACAGUUUUUCAGCAACCCCCCCACCAGGCCAUCGAGACGCCGAGAUCUGUACUUACUCAUCUCGCAGUGCUCCCCCUGGAGUCCUGGAGGGCAAAUGCAUUUUCCUGGGUAGAAGCAGGUCCCCCCAUUAAGGCAAGUAGUCGAGCAGUUGACUGUUAGAAUGGAUGACAGGGUGCUUCGUUAGACAGGCAGGCACGCCUAGCAAGAACUUCACUUCAAGUGAACGAUAUUUCUCCAGCAUGUGUCUAACACGUUCUCAGCUACAUAAUAAACACACCACUUUACAGUUUGAAAAAAGUUAUGACCAAACACCCCAUUAUUUGAAAUAACCAAUUCAAAUUAUAAUUACAGUCAAAUUACAAAGACUCUCAGAACAUAAGAGAGAAGAGGGCAUCACACAAUGUAUUCAUUCCUAAUUUUGUUAAAAGGUAUAAUAUAUAAAAAGUAGUCUUUUUAAAUAAAAACUUAGUGCUAAAAAGAAGAAUCUGCAAAUCCAAGAAAAUACCUUUCAAAAGCAUCAAGUUGGAAGAUAAAGGGGGAAAACUUAUUUGGAUUAGAUAAAGGGGAGAGAGUGUCAAAGUGUCAAGGCCCAAAGAGGAGGAGGCAACCCUCAGAAGAACGGAGCUUCGUUUGAACGAAUGGGAUUUAGAGAGAGAGAGAGACUGUCAUGGGACUUGGAGGGAGUCUUGACUAAUUGCAUGCAGAGAGACAGGCUGAAAACCCUGUGAGGCCCUAAGGAAGAGGCUGAGCCAUGAUGGAGCCCGGGAGGUGAAGCAGGAUGAUGGACAUGGUGAAAAUCCAAUCAAGGAGCUGUGACGCAUCCUAAGCCCCUCCCUCUUGGUGUCCGUUUCUUGAAUUUCAUUGAUCUUUGGAGGAUAGAGAAAUGGGAAUAGGAGGAAACUGAAAAGUGGACGGCUUCGCUCACUCGGUAAAGAAGAUUAAAAUAGGAGCUUGGGCUGGGGGUAAAGUGUAUGCUUGUAGUCCCGGAAUCCAGGGGAGUAGAGGCUGGGUGGUCGGGUUUGUUUCUGGCUACAUAGUGCGUUAGAAGCUGGCCUGGCGUAUGUGGCUAUUUGGAACUUUGCCUCAAAAAAGCUGAAAACUAAAGAUUAGUGCUUAGAAUUUUUUUCUUUUAAAUUUCGUUCAUAUGUCCUGGUUUUGUACUGGUGACUUGUAAAACAGAUAAAUAAAGGCUUCCGGUGUGAA